UGAGGAAUAUUGGUCAAUGGGCGAGAGCCUGAACCAGCCAAGUCGCGUGAAGGAAGACAGUCCUAAGGAUUGUAAACUUCUUUUAUACGGGAAUAACGGGCGAUACGAGUAUUGCAUUGAAUGUACCGUAAGAAUAAGCAUCGGCUAACUCCGUGCCAGCAGCCGCGGUAAUACGGAGGAUGCGAGCGUUAUCCGGAUUUAUUGGGUUUAAAGGGUGCGUAGGUUGUUCGGUAAGUCAGCGGUGAAACCUGAGCGCUCAACGUUCAGCCUGCCGUUGAAACUGCCGAGCUUGAGUUCAGUGGCGGGAGGCGGAAUUCGUGGUGUAGCGGUGAAAUGCAUAGAUAUCACGAGAAACACCGAUUGCGAAGGCAGCUCGCCAUACUGCGACUGACACUGAAGCACGAAGGCGUGGGUAUCAAACAGG
rnacentral:rRNA from 1 species